rnacentral:misc_RNA from 1 species
AAAGUCGUAACAAGGUAACCGUAGGUGAACCUGCGGUUGGAUCAUUACAAAAUUAGUCGGCUCGUGCAGUGGCCUCGGAGAAUACCCGAAGUCAUUGCAGUUUCUGCAACGGGUUUGCCCCCGUUUGGAAACAAACGAGCGAAACGACAACCCACAAUCAGGGCCCCUUUGCCUCAAAGAGGAAUUACAACUGUUUAUAUAUCAUCUAUCUGACACCAACCAUGAGAAACAAUGAGAAACAACUUUAGACAACGGAUCUCUUGGCUCUC